ACCUAGGUGGCGGAAUUGGUAGACGCGUACGCUUGAGGGGCGUAUGACCUCCGGUCGUGCAGGUUCGAGUCCUGUUCUAGGUAC
rnacentral:tRNA from 1 species